rnacentral:rRNA from 1 species
CCUACGGGAGGCAGCAGUAGGGAAUCUUCCGCAAUGGACGAAAGUCUGACGGAGCAACGCCGCGUGAGCGAAGAAGGUCUUCGGAUCGUAAAGCUCUGUUGUUAGGGAAGCGGUACCUAACCAGAAAGCCACGGCUAACUACGUGCCAGCAGCCGCGGUAAUACGUAGGUGGCAAGCGUUAUCCGGAAUUAUUGGGCGUAAAGCGCGCGCAGGCGGUCCUUUAAGUCUGAUGUGAAAGCCCACGGCUCAACCGUGGAGGGUCAUUGGAAACUGGGGGACUUGAGUGCAGAAGAGGAGAGCGGAAUUCCACGUGUAGCGGUGAAAUGCGUAGAGAUGUGGAGGAACACCAGUGGCGAAGGCGGCUCUCUGGUCUGUACUGACGCUGAGGCGCGAAAGCGUGGGGAGCGAACAGGAUUAGAUACCCUUGUAGUC